UACGAAGGGGGCUAGCGUUGCUCGGAAUCACUGGGCGUAAAGGGUGCGUAGGCGGGUUUUUAAGUCAGGGGUGAAAUCCUGGAGCUCAACUCCAGAACUGCCUUUGAUACUGAAGAUCUUGAGUCCGGGAGAGGUGAGUGGAACUGCGAGUGUAGAGGUGAAAUUCGUAGAUAUUCGCAAGAACACCAGUGGCGAAGGCGGCUCACUGGCCCGGUACUGACGCUGAGGUGCGAAAGCGUGGGGAGCGAACAGG
rnacentral:rRNA from 1 species